CAGCAGCCGCGGUAACACGUAGGUGGCAAGCGUUGUCCGGAAUUAUUGGGCGUAAAGGGCUCGCAGGCGGUUUCUUAAGUCUGAUGUGAAAGCCCCCGGCUCAACCGGGGAGGGUCAUUGGAAACUGGGAAACUUGAGUGCAGAAGAGGAGAGUGGAAUUCCACGUGUAGCGGUGAAAUGCGUAGAGAUGUGGAGGAACACCAGUGGCGAAGGCGACUCUCUGGUCUGUAACUGACGCUGAGGAGCGAAAGCGUGGGGAGCGAACAGGAUUAGAUACCCCUGUAGUCCCUGUCUCUUAUAC
rnacentral:rRNA from 1 species